UAAGAGAAAGGGAGACAGUUCAUGUCUCCUACAUUGAGACGAACGACAAGGUAUAGCAAAAUCAAUGGCAGAGAUAUCGUUUCCGGCGUCAUCUUUCUAUUGACGAUUCGAUUGUUGCUCAUCCACAU